rnacentral:rRNA from 1 species
ACACGACUACAUAGAUACCCGGGUAGUCCUAGCCGUAAACGAUACUCGCUAGGUGUCGGCCACGGUGCGACCGUUGUCGGUGCCGUAGGGAAGCCGUGAAGCGAGCCACCUGGGAAGUACGGCCGCAAGGCUGAACUUAAAGGAAUUGGCGGGGGAGCACCACAACGGGUGGAGCUUGCGGUUUAAUUGGAUUCAACGCCGGAAAUCUUACCGGGACCGACAGCAACAUGAAGGCCAGGCUGAAGACUUUGCCGGAUUAGCUG